rnacentral:lncRNA from 1 species
GGAUGGGGCUUGGCCCGCAAGAACACCACCUGCGGGGACAAAAUCAGCAGAAGGUAGCAGGGAAAGGGGCUGGAACACGCAACUGCUUCUGCUGCUGGUUGUAAUGCUGCUGCUGCAGACAGGGAGAAGGUAGAGAGUGCACCAUGAGGGCCACUUUGGAGUGGUGGGAUUCAUGUUAAUAAUGUGAAGUAAUUUAUCCGCCUUUUUUUUUUCCAUCAUCCCCUGGAUCAUCUGAUGCCUCUUCAUCUUUGCUUGCUCUCUGUCCCCGCCCAUUGCUAGGCUGUGCUGCCCACUCUUGUUCUCUCCUGGUAGUGGAGGAGUUUGCUUCGUAACAGGCUGAAAAAGCCUUCAUUUCUUUGAGUACAUUUUCAUUUCCCAUAACAGUAUGGAUAUGGUUUUGGAGUUGAGAAAUAAGUUCUCCGUGCAGUUUUUCCGCUCUCUUCCCCUUCCUGUUUUUAAUGUAGUAGUGUUCUACUUCUUUCUCUAAGACCUUCAUGAUGUUAGUUGGCCCAAAGCUUUGUUGGCUCUUUUCCUUAAAAUAGUACCACCAUGGAGAAAUGGUCUACAGGAGAAAAAUGAAGACAGUGAUGAGAAUGGAAAAUAAUGCAGAAACCUGGAAGUCUGGAAGUACCAGGGCAGAAACGGAUGGAUGAGUCGUUACUGACACAGGCCCCCCAACUCCUUUCUGCGUGGCUUUCUGCUGAGCAGUCCCUGGGCAGAGCAGUGGAGGACUUGGAGCUCUGGUCUGUCUAUCACCAGGUAUCUUGA